rnacentral:rRNA from 1 species
GAUGAACGCUGGCGGCGUGCCUAAUACAUGCAAGUCGAGCGAACAGACGAGGAGCUUGCUCCUCUGACGUGAGCGGCGGACGGGAGAGUAACACGUGGAUAACCUACCUAUAAGACUGGGAUAACUUCGGGAAACCGGAGCUAAUACCGGAGAAGAUAUUGAACCGCAGGGGGCAAUAGUGAAAGACGGUGUUGCGGGCAGGUAUAGAUGGAUCCGCGCCGCAUGAGCUAGUUGGUAAGGUAACGGCUUACCAAGGCAACGAUGCGUAGCCGAACUGAGAGGGUGAUAGGCCACCCUGGAACUUAGCCACGGUCAUGACUACUACGGGAGGCCGCAGUCUGCAAUCUUCCGCAAUGGGCGAAAGCCUGACGCAGCAACGCCGCGUGAGUGAUGACGGUCUUCGGAUCGUAAAACCCUGUUAUUAGUGAAGAACCAAUGUCUCAGUAACUAUGCCCGUCUUGACGGUACCUAAUCAGAAAGCCCCGGCUAACUACGUG